rnacentral:rRNA from 1 species
AGCGAACGCUGGCGGCAGGCCUAACACAUGCAAGUCGAACGAACCCUUCGGGGUUAGUGGCGGACGGGUGAGUAACACGUGGGAACGUACCUUUAGGUUCGGAACAACACAGGGAAACUUGUGCUAAUGCCGAAUGUGCCCUUCGGGGGAAAGAUUUAUCGCCUUUAGAGCGGCCCGCGUCUGAUUAGCUUGUUGGUGAGGUAAAGGCUCACCAAGGCUUCGAUCAGUAGCUGGUCUGAGAGGAUGAUCAGCCACACUGGGACUGAGACACGGCCCAGACUCCUACGGGAGGCAGCAGUGGGGAAUCUUGCGCAAUGGGCGAAAGCCUGACCCAGCGACGCCGCGUGGGUGAUGAAGGCCUUCGGGUUGUAAAACCCUUUCGUGCGGAAAGAAUAGUCCUGUAGCGAAUAACUACGGGAUUUGACGGUACCGCAGGAAGAAGCACCGGCUAACUCCGUG